AUGUGUAUAGAUGUGUGUGUGUGUCACAGGGCAGGUGAGUGAGGGAUCAGAGCCACACACACACACACACACACACACACACACACACACACACACAC
rnacentral:pre_miRNA from 12 species